GCUCCCAUAGCUCAGUGGCAGAGCAGAUGCCUUUUAAGCAUUUGAUCAAGGUUCGAUUCCUUGUGGGAGCACCA
rnacentral:tRNA from 1 species